rnacentral:misc_RNA from 1 species
ACCACUUAUGGGAUGCCGUUACCGCUACAUGUAAAAGCCAUAAAAACAGGGCAAGCCAGACCAACAAGAGGAAAAUUAACAGUUUGUGGAAUCAUGAAAAACUGUUUGCUCGCUACAGUUGACAAUAACCAAAAGUAACACUGCACUUACUAAAAGUAACAAGCAGAGCAAUCAACUUAAUAUUGGUGGACGAUUACACUCACUCUACAAAUGGAAUAAAAUCAGUAAGAAUAUCUCAGUGUGGAGGCAAACAUAAAUGGGAAGGAAAAAGGUUCAACAGUGGAAAAGCAACAAGCCGUUUAAAAGACGUCGUGUUUUACUUUUUAUAAUCUACUGACAUGAUACAUACAAUUCCCAGCCAUGAAACCAGAGUCAGAGAACACAGUAAACGCCAAAAAAGCAUAGAAAUCUACAAUUUCUACACUACCAUUCUAAUCUAACUCAAUCUCACUGUGAAUCAGACAUUCAAUCUAGCAUCUCAAUUACCAAAUGAAAACAGUUACAAAAAUCAGAUCUGUCAAAAAAUAGCCAUUAAUGAAUGAAAAGAAAUAAGAAAUCCAAGAAUUCAAGUCAAGAAACCUGAAAAAAUCACUGGAAACCAAAUUUUGAAGUUCAAAAACAAACUUGUGCUGAAGCAGAACGGAAAGGAAAGAACACAAACACCACAAGAAAGACUGCAAAUACACAAAAUUCAGAUUACAUAAUUCAAAUAGAAAGCGAAAACUCAAACAGAGAAAGGCAAGAUCUAAUCGAAACGAAUCAAUCACCAAAAGAAAAAGAUUCCAUUCCUCAGAUCACACAAAUUCUCAAAAAACACGCCAAAAAUGCAUUUCUCUUCGCGUUGUCAUUUGUCAAUCUACCAGCUGUUUCUUAGCCACAGACCACAGAAGCAAAGCGACAAAAGAACAGCAAAUAAAACGACAGU